rnacentral:lncRNA from 10 species
AGGAAACAGAAACCACACAGUAAUUUAAAUAGGAAAAGUUUAACAUAGAGAUUUAUUAACUAUAAAAUCAGAUUAGGGUCAUGGGGGAUGGGCUACUACUGGAUAAACAGAACUCUAAGAAAUAUAGGAAUGGCAGGUGUAAGGAGCAGUUACCACACCUAAGGCUUAUGGAGAGAGCCUGAGGUAGAGCCUCCGCCCCAUCCACCUCAGUCUCGGGGCUGAAUUCCAGACCUUGUUGGAGAAGGCAUGGCCAUGGCUCACUGGAUGGCAGGGAAGCUGCUGUGGUGCUGUACAAGAAGAACCUGCUGGAAACCUGCCCUUGAGAGUGCCAGGGAAAGCUGUUCACAGAGCGUUGUCUCUAUGACACAAGGCACUAGACUAUGAGAUUGCCCUGUGGGGAGACAAGGCAAAGCUCCUGGCCACUGGGUACUGCUGACCAUGUACCCUGAGGGGAUUGGGGCUGGGAAAGUCACCAUUACUGCAGGUGCUGGACACUGCUGAAGCCCUUGGGGCCACCAGAAACCUGGUGCUAAAGAAGCCCUGCCAGGUGCACAAGACAAGUGAGCUCCCAGAACCGGGCAGGCAACGAAGGGUGAAUCUGGAGCUGAGAGGCAUGAAUAACUGGCACAGGAUGACACACAGUUGUACUUAAUGUGUGAGUCUCAUGGUACUCAGUAAAGCCAAGGAUAUGGGAGGGAAAAAAAGGGGAAAGAGUCAUGGAAAGCCAGCUUCUUGCUGAAACUCCACUAGGUGCCCUGCUGGAAUCUCCCUUGAAAGAGCCUCUAUCCUGAAGAGCGUUGGACCCUGGAGCUGCUGGCCACAUCUUGAUCUGCCAUAUGUGGUCCAAGAAUGAAGUCAACACGAAGGAGAAUGAAGGUGCUGAGGGAUAAAGUUAUUGACAUUCUAGGAGCUCCUGGAUCAAACCAUGCCUGAACUCAAUUUAUCCCUUGAACUUUUCAAUUACAUGAAUAAAUCCUCCUUUUGCCUGAGUCAAUGUGGAUUAGUAUCAUUGGCAUUCAGAAGAUUCCUAAAGUCUCAGGUCUUCUGCACAUCUAUAACCAUGGCAAUUGCGGUCCUGCUCUCCUUUCCCCUCCCCUGAGCAGGCAAGCUUUCCUUCUCUAUCAUGUAAACCUCCUGGGUCAUUCAGAGUAUUUCUCAAAUGUUACCUGGAGUUUCCCAAGACUUCAGUUCUCACUGACCAUUUACUUCUUAAACUGCUAGGAUGAUAACCUAUAACUUUGCAUCUAACCAAUCCCUUAGCACUUUCCUUAGAGACUUCUUAGAGAUCUUUUUGAUGCCUAAGGGUAGGAAUCAGGGCUUCUCUAUCUUGUAUAUGCACUGCCCCCCACCCACAGGUCCAUAGAAUAACAGCUGAGGACCUGUAGCUCUACAAGGGCAGGGACUGUCAAACAUGCCAGACUGCACAUGGUAGUUACCACUAGAGGGCUCUGGGUAUGGGCAAUAAGCAGGACUUCUGCAUUUUACAUCUAUGCUAUCAUUCGAGUCUUGUAUGAGCAUUUAUUUUACAAAUCUCUAUCUUGCAAAGCAAACCCUUAGUGUGAAUAACUGAGGAGUGGUGGAUCGGCCAGCUCUUCCGUGCAGUGUUCUAAAGCCUCUUGCUCCUGUCUCUCCUGUGGGAAACCCAUAGUUACGGCUUCAAGCAGAGACCCAAGCACCACCUCAGGGUCUUGACCUUGUGUGGGAAUAAUCUAUCACCAAGAUGCAGACAGAGACAAACUGCUUCACAGAGCAUUUUAUCCCCUAGAAAAUCCCCAACCCCAGCAUCCUGGGUGCUGCCCAACCUCUUCAAAUACAAAGGCAAAUAAAAUAAAUAAAAGUAAAUAUUGUACUCAUAAGCAACAGAAUGCCUAGCAACCAAGAACAAGGGAGGGCUGGAGGAAGAAGGUUGACUUUCGCAGGCCCUUGUGUAUAAACUGCAGUAAAAGUCUUCUCUGUGUGAAUAAUAUAUUUUUGAGCGUUAAAUUAUAGAAGGUGUAAGGAAUGCUAAGGCUGAGACCCAACAGAGAGAGCUGGCCCCACCCUGAAUGGGAGGGGCAGGGGUCUCCUUGGUCUUUGUCCCUGCUGACUGGUAUUGAGGGAGGGGGAGUCUCCGCUGUAGCUUCAGGAAUGGAACACAGGGCACCAGGCCUCAGUUAAUCCCUUUAGGGACCCUUAGCCCUGAAACAAUGCUGGUGCAACCCCACAUGUAACUCAGAAGAAAAUGUUAAGUCACGAAAUAAAUGUAAGAGCUCUGAUGUUUUUCUAUAACACCCAUUUCAAUGCUUUGUUAGAAAGUAUGUACGUAAAGCACAUGACAUUGUUCUCAUUAAAUUUUUUUGUUACGAAAACUUUUAAACACACUCAGAAGAGUAGGAUUUUUGAACCUCUCAUCUGGGUACAAUAUUAUUAAAAUUCUGC